rnacentral:rRNA from 1 species
UACGUAGGGUGCGAGCGUUUGUCCGGAAUUAUUGGGCGUAAAGAGCUUGUAGGUGGUUUGUCGCGUCUGCUGUGAAAUCCGAGGCUCAACCUCGGACUUGCAGUGGGUACGGGCAGACUAGAGUGUGGUAGGGGAGACUGGAAUUCCUGGUGUAGCGGUGAAAUGCGCAGAUAUCAGGAGGAACACCGAUGGCGAAGGCAGGUCUCUGGG